rnacentral:hammerhead_ribozyme from 1 species
GUUCUGCUGAAGAGUCCCAAACUAGGAUGAAACAGCCGUCCAGUAC